UACAGAGGUCCCAAGCGUUGUUCGGAUUCAUUGGGCGUAAAGGGUGUGUAGGUGGCGCCGUAAGUCGGGUGUGAAAUUUCGGAGCUUAACUCCGAACCUGCAUUCGAUACUGCGGUGCUUGAGGACUGGAGAGGAGACUGGAAUUCAUGGUGUAGCAGUGAAAUGCGCAGAUAUCAGGAGGAACACCGGUGGCGAAGGCGGCACUCUGGGCCGGUACUGACGCUGAGGAGCGAAAGCGUGGGGAGCGAACAGG
rnacentral:rRNA from 1 species